GCCAGAGGGUGCAAACGUUGCUCGGAAUCACUGGGCGUAAAGGGCGUGUAGGCGGGCAGGAAAGUCAGAUGUGAAAUCCCCAGGCUCAACCUGGGAACUGCAUUUGAAACUCCCUUUCUUGAGUACCGGAGAGGAAAGUGGAAUUCCUGGUGUAGAGGUGAAAUUCGUAGAUAUCAGGAGGAACACCAGUGGCGAAGGCGGCUUUCUGGACGGUAACUGACGCUGAGACGCGAAAGCGUGGGGAGCAAACAGG
rnacentral:rRNA from 1 species